GGGGUAGCCGGAUGGUGGAAGACGGGGAUCGACGGCCGGAUCCGCAUCUCAUAUUAAAUAUUUUCAAGCGGUGGGACCCGAGAUUCGAAUACGUAUCCUCCGGAGCGGAAAGCCGAAGCGUUUCAACCCGGCCAAUCCAGUCAUCUCUAUGUUUUAUUAUCAGAAAAUACUAUCACCAAUUAUGCCCUACUUGUUUUCAAUGUGGUCUGAAUUUUUAUCCCAUCAAUUCUGCACGAGGACAGCAUAACUUCUCUUAUAUGAGAGAUAUAGAAAAACAAAGUCCACUCCAAGGAUAAUUUGGUCCGAUAUGGUUUCCAACCGAGAGAUGCAUCUUCGGCUAUGGAUCGCGAUGAUCGGGGACCAAAGACUUUGCCUCGGUGAAUUUUGAUCAACAUCUAAACUUCUCUGAUAACAGUAAUUGCCUGUCGUACCGUCUUGUGUCCAAUUUCUUUUUUAUCUGUUUAGCGGGUUACCAUCCUGGUGAAAUUCGGUCGGUUAGUCUGGAGAAAAGUCACUUCUUAACUGGAUAGUGUAUUUAGCCGCCCAGUCGUCUUCUGAUAAAUUUCAUUAAACCUCAACCAGCCAAGAUUGGCGUAAAAUCGAAAGUGGGUCUCUUAAUGAAAACGGGAUGGCCCAUACUUCCAGUUUGACUCCUGGCUAAUAAGCAACUGUUUAUAUCUAGUAUCAGUUUCUACAUAACUCCAUGUUGGAUUCUUUGAUUAAGCACACUGCAAAAGUAUCCGAUCAUUCGCUGAUUUUCUUUUGAUAUAGCCAAAGCGUUUUAACCGACAGAUAGUUCCUUUUUUCGGAUAAUAUAUUUUUCUUUUUCUCUAUCAUACUAAAUAUUACCGGUGCUAAUAAAUGGCUAUUUCAUUUUCGAUUAAG
rnacentral:lncRNA from 1 species